GAUGAAGAACGUAGCGAAAUGCGAUAAGUAAUGUGAAUUGCAGAAUUCAGUGAAUCAUCGAAUCUUUGAACGCACAUUGCGCCCUCUGGUAUUCCGGGGGGCAUGCCUGUUCGAGCGUCAUUAUAACCACUCAAGCUUACGCUUGGUAUUGGGGUUCGCGGUCCCGCGGCCCCUAAAAUCAGUGGCGGUGCCUGUCGGCUCUACGCGUAGUAAUACUCCUCGCGAUUGAGUCCGGUAGGUUUACUUGCCAGCAACCCCUAAUUUUUACAGGUUGACCUCGGAUCAGGUAGGGAUACCCGCUGAACUUAAGCAUAUCAAUAAGCGGAGGA
rnacentral:misc_RNA from 1 species